rnacentral:precursor_RNA from 1 species
AUGGAUCAACACCUACCGGGAGGUCUGUAGAUGCUGCUUCAGUGUCUUGUGGGUUCGGUGGAGCUGGUCUAUUCAAGAGUUCCUUAAAGUGUUCUA